rfam:Myotis lucifugus cont2.18399, whole genome shotgun sequence.
GAGGCUUCUCAAGUGAUGCACCCUGGAAUCAGGCUCCCUCUUCUCUGGUUCCAGGUGCGUCACCCAAAAAACCAC